UAGUCAUAUGCUUGUCUCAAAGAUUAAGCCAUGCAUGUCUAAGUACAAGCCUCGCUAAGGUGAAACCGCGAAUGGCUCAUUAAAUCACACCUAAUCUACUGGAUAGUUAACAGUUACUUGGAUAACUGCGGUAAUUCUGGAGCUAAUACAUGCACAAAGCCCCGAACUUACGUGAGGGGCGCUUUUAUUAGAUCAAAACCAAACGGCUUCGGCUGUAUCCUUGGUGACUCUGAAUAACUUUGGGCUGAUCGCAUGGCCUAGCGCCGGCGACAUAUCCUUCGAAGGUGUGCCCUAUCAACUGUCGACUGUGGCAUAGACGCCCACAGUGGUUUUGACGGGUAACGGGGAAUCAGGGUUCGAUUCCGGAGAGGGAGCCUUAAAAACGGCUACCACAUCUAAGGAAGGCAGCAGGCACGCAAAUUACCCAAUGACCGAAGGUCGAGGUAGUGACAAAAAAUAACGAUACGGGACUCAUCUGAGGCCCCGUAAUCGGAAUGAGUACACUUUAGAACCGUCCCCGAGGAUCUAUU
rnacentral:rRNA from 1 species